rnacentral:tRNA from 1 species
UAUACUUUAGUGUACUAAAAGCACAUUUAAUUUUGAUUUAAAUAGGUAUGAAUUUUAUUCAUUAAGUGUAA